GGUGGAUGCCUUGGCACUAGAAGCCGAUGAAGGACGUUACUAACGACGAUAUGCUUUGGGGAGCUGUAAGUAAGCUUUGAUCCAGAGAUUUCCGAAUGGGGAAACCCAGCAUGAGUUAUGUCAUGUUAUCGAUAUGUGAAUACAUAGCAUAUCAGAAGCACACCCGGAGAACUGAAACAUCUUAGUACCCGGAGGAAGAGAAAGAAAAUUCGAUUCCCUUAGUAGCGGCGA
rnacentral:rRNA from 1 species